AGUUUGAUCCUGGCUCAGGAUGAACGCUAGCUACAGGCUUAACACAUGCAAGUCGAGGGGAAACGACAUCGAAAGCUUGCUUUUGAUGGGCGUCGACCGGCGCACGGGUGAGUAACGCGUAUCCAACCUGCCCACCACUUGGGGAUAACCUUGCGAAAGUAAGACUAAUACCCAAUGAUAUCUCUAGAAGACAUCUGAAAGAGAUUAAAGAUUUAUCGGUGAUGGAUGGGGAUGCGUCUGAUUAGCUUGUUGGCGGGGUAACGGCCCACCAAGGCUACGAUCAGUAGGGGUUCUGAGAGGAAGGUCCCCCACAUUGGAACUGAGACACGGUCCAAACUCCUACGGGAGGCAGCAGUGAGGAAUAUUGGUCAAUGGACGAGAGUCUGAACCAGCCAAGUAGCGUGCAGGAUGACGGCCCUAUGGGUUGUAAACUGCUUUUAUAAGGGAAUAAAGUGAGUCUCGUGAGGCUUUUUGCAUGUACCUUAUGAAUAAGGACCGGCUAAUUCCGUGCCAGCAGCCGCGGUAAUACGGAAGGUCCGGGCGUUAUCCGGAUUUAUUGGGUUUAAAGGGAGCGUAGGCCGGAGAUUAAGCGUGUUGUGAAAUGUAGACGCUCAACGUCUGCACUGCAGCGCGAACUGGUUUCCUUGAGUACGCACAAAGUGGGCGGAAUUCGUGGUGUAGCGGUGAAAUGCUUAGAUAUCACGAAGAACUCCGAUUGCGAAGGCAGCUCACUGGAGCGCAACUGACGCUGAAGCUCGAAAGUGCGGGUAUCGAACAGGAUUAGAUACCCUGGUAGUCCGCACGGUAAACGAUGGAUGCCCGCUGUUGGUCUGAAUAGGUCAGCGGCCAAGCGAAAGCAUUAAGCAUCCCACCUGGGGAGUACGCCGGCAACGGUGAAACUCAAAGGAAUUGACGGAAGGGAAAUUUG
rnacentral:rRNA from 1 species